rnacentral:rRNA from 1 species
GGGUCCGCACAAGCGGUGGAGCAUGUGGUUUAAUUCGAUGAUACGCGAGGAACCUUACCUAGGCUAUAAUGUGAGUGACCGGUGCUGAAAGGCACUUUUCCUUCGGACCACUUACAAGGUGCUGCAUGGUUGUCGUCAGCUCGUGCCGUGAGGUGUUGGGUUAAGUCCCGCAACGGGCGCAACCCCUAUCUUCAGUUGCCAUCAUUUAGUUGGGGACUCUGGAGAGACUGCCCGUGUAAGCGAGGAGGAAGGCGGGGACGACGUCAAAUCAUCAUGGCCUUUAUGCCUAGGGCUACACACGUGCUACAAUGGCAGGUACAGAGGGCAGCGAAGUCGCGAGGCUAAGCAAAUCUCAAAAAGCCUGUCCCAGUUCGGAUUGGAGUCUGGAACUCGACUCCAUG